rnacentral:lncRNA from 1 species
CAGAAAUAAGUUGAAAUAAAAGAUGAUUCCCUGUCCUGACAAGUUCCAAAGAAUGUGUCCAUCAGAUAUUAUUCAGACUAGUGGCAACAAAAAAUGUAAACUAUAAAGUAUUCCUGAUGUUUCUCUUUUACAGAAAGCUCUGGGAAACAAAACAGCUGGUGUGAUCUAGGCUGCCUACAAAUACAACCGAGAUGCAUUCUUGGGAAUAUGCAGAAUUAAAAUGAAGCCACAAAGAAAAUGGAGACCUGGACUUGAACAAAUGAAACCAACUAUUUGCCUUUAUCGGUGAAAUUCUGAAAAAAACAUAAAUGGCUCACUGCAUUCAUCACAUGGAUCUCUGCUGAGGACUGCUGAUGACCAGGGAAUAAUGGAUGGGCCAGCACUUCUCUAGUGUCCAGCAAUUACAGGUCAGAGUGCUACCCAACACCUUGGACAGCCAAGUGAUUACACCACAGUGAC